rnacentral:rRNA from 1 species
CCUACGGGUGGCAGCAGUGGGGAAUAUUGCGCAAUGGGCGAAAGCCUGACGCAGCGACGCCGCGUGAGGGAUGAAGGUCUUCGGAUCGUAAACCUCUGUCAGCAGGGAAGAACAGUCACUGUGCUAAUCAGCAGUGAAUUGACGGUACCUGCAAAGGAAGCACCGGCUAACUCCGUGCCAGCCGCCGCGGUAAUACGGAGGGUGCGAGCGUUAGUCGGAAUUACUGGGCGUAAAGCGCUCGUAGGCGGUAUGUCAAGUCAAGGGUGAAAUCCCGGCGCUCAACGUGGGAACUGCCUUUGAAACUGGAAAACUGGAGUGUGUGAGAGGAUAGUGGAAUUCAAGGUGUAGGAGUGAAAUCCGUAGAUAUCUGGAGGAACAUCAGUGGCGAAGGCGAGUAUCUGGCACAUAACUGACGCUGAGGAGCGAAAGCGUGGGUAGCAAACAGGAUUAGAUUCCCUGGUAGUC